GGUUAAAGCUCGUAGUUGGAUUUCGGGCGUGGAGGUUCGGUCCGCCGUUUCGGUGUGCACUGUCUUUCUGCGUCUUUCUGUCGGGGACGCGCUUCUGGCCUUAAUUGGCUGGGACGUGGAUUCGACGAGGUUACUUUGAAAAAAUUAGAGUGUUCAAAGCAAGCUAAAGCUCUGAAUACAUUAGCAUGGAAUAACGCGAGAGGACUCGGUCCUUAUUUUGUUGGUCUUCAAGGAUGGAGUAAUGAUUAAGAGGGACAGUUGGGGGCAUUCGUAUUUCAUUGCUAGAGGUGAAAUUCUUGGAUUUAUGAAAGACGAACUUCUGCGAAAGCAUUUGCCAAGGAUGUUUUCAUUGAUCAAGAACGAAAGUUGGGGGCUCGAAGAUGAUCAGAUACCAUCCUAGUCUCAACCAUAAACGAUGCCGACUAGGGAUUGGCAGGUGUUACAUCGAUGACUCUGCCAGCACCUUAUGAGAAAUCAAAGUUUUUGGGUUCCGGGGGGAGUAUGGUCGCAAGGCUGAAACUUAAAGGAAUUGACGGAAGGGCACCACCAGGAGUGGAGCCUGCGGCUUAAUUUGACUCAACACGGGGAAACUUACCAGGUCCAGACAUAGUAAGGAUUGACAGAUUGAGAGCUCUUUCUUGAUUCUAUGGGUGGUGGUGCAUGGCCGUUCUUAGUUGGUGGAGUGAUUUGUCUGGUUAAUUCCGUUAACGAGCGAGACCUCAGCCUGCUAAGUAGUCCGACUAUGGUUUUCCAUGGCUGCUGACUUCUUAGAGGGACUAUUGG
rnacentral:rRNA from 1 species